GGGCCUUCCCGCCGAGCCUCCGCCAGGCUUCGGGACCGAGGGGCCGGGGAGCUGCACCGCGGCGUUAUGGGCCCCCGAGCAGCUUCCGCAGCUCACCCUUCAGGUCACUUCUUCAGAAAUGACUUCCCAGCCAUCCAUCUAAAGGAGACUAUAGAAAUAAUGUUAGACAAAAAGGACACUUGAGCAAUUUUCUUAUUUGAGUUCAAAAUGAGUUGUAAAGCAGGAGACAACUCGCAACAUCAACACAUGUGGCACAGGAACUACGAACAAACAUAGAACACAGCAGUGGUUCAAGGGGUUUUUGCAAAGAAGACAAGAGCCUUGAAGAUGAGAAGCACUGUGGCCAGUCAUUUGAAGGUGACAGCAACCAACUGAAAGAAUCAUCAGAGCUGAUCCUUGUAUAACUACACAAGAAGUUGCCGAAGAAUUCAACCUUGACCGUUCUAUGGUUAUCUGGCAUUUGAAGCAAGUUGGAAAGAUGAAAAAGCCCGCUAAGUGAAUGCCUCAUGAGUUAACUGCAAAUCAAAAAAAGCAUCCUUUUGAAGUGUCAUCUUCUCUUACUCUACACAACAACGAACCAUUUCUCGACUGGAUUGUGAUGUGUGACGAAAAGUGGAUUAUAUACGACAACUGUUGACAACCAGCUCACUGUUGGACCGAGAAGAAGCUCCAAAGCACUUCCCAAAGCCAAACUUACACCAAAAAAAGGUGAUAGUCACUGUUUGGUGGUCUGCUGUCGGUCUGAUCCACUACAAGUUUUUGAAUCCUAGCAAAAUCAUUACCUCUGAAAUCAUGGAAAACUACAAUGCAAGCAGCUGGCACUGGUCAACAGAAAGGGCCCGAUUCUUCUCUACAACAAUGCCUGACCACCCGUCUCACAACCAACACUUCAAAAAUUGAAUGAAUUAGGCUAACGAAGUUUUACCUCAUCUGCCAUAUUUACCUGACCUCUUGCCAACCAAUGACCACUACUUCAAGCAUCCUGACAACUUUUUGCAGGGAAAAUGCUUCCACAACCAGCAUGAGACAGAAAAUGCUUUCCAAGUGUUUGCUGAUCCCCAAGCAUGGAUUUUUAUGCUACAGAAAUAAACAAACUUAUUUUUCAUU